CCUACGGGAGGCAGCAGUGGGGAAUAUUGCACAAUGGGGGAAACCCUGAUGCAGCGACGCCGCGUGAGUGAAGAAGUAAUUCGUUAUGUAAAGCUCUAUCAGCAGGGAAGAAGAUGACGAUACCUGAGUAAGAAGCCACGGCUAACUACGUGCCAGCAGCCGCGGUAAAACGUAGGGGGCAAGCGUUAACCGGCUUUACUGGUUGUAAAGGGAGCGUAGACGGCAGUGCAAGUCUGGAGGGAAGGGCGGGGGCUCAACCCGGGGAGUGCACUGGAAACUGGACGGCUAGAGUGCAGGAGAGGGAAGUGGAAUUCCUAGUGUAGCGGUGAAAUGCGUAGAUAUUAGGAGGAACACCAGUGGCGAAGGCGGCCUACUGGACUGUAACUGACGUUGAGGCGCGAAAGCGUGGGGAGCAAACAGGAUUAGAUACCCCUGUAGUC
rnacentral:rRNA from 1 species